GCUUGACCUAUUAGCAGUGUUACUUAAUCGAGUUGUACAGAAUUCUGUUUAAAAACUAGUUAGUUUCGAAGGACCAUUGACAAUAAUUACUCUUACUGAUAAUACCUGAUAAGUAAUUACUGAUUUGAAGACACUUGACUCAGAAGGAACAUUAACCGAGAUCGGCCACCAAGAAGACGCUGAACACAGCACCCCUGGCGGCCUUACACAUACUAUAAAUCAAAAAUAGUGGGCUUGCGAACUAGUCGGCCCGACCUAGUUAAUUGUCCGUCAGGUGGCGGGUCGUGAUCCGCAACACCAU